rnacentral:rRNA from 1 species
GGCUCAGGAUGAACGCUAGCUACAGGCUUAACACAUGCAAGUCGAGGGGCAGCAUUGGGAUAGCUUGCUAUUCAGAUGGCGACCGGCGCACGGGUGAGUAACGCGUAUCCAACCUUCCUGCCAGUAGGGAACAGCCCGGCGAAAGUCGGAUUAAUGCCCUAUGUUCUUCAAUGCGGACAUCUAAGUUGAAGGAAAGAUUCAUCGCUGGCAGAUGGGGAUGCGUCCGAUUAGCUUGCCGGCGGGUAACGGCCCACCGGGGCGACGAUCGGUAGGGGUUCUGAGAGGAAGGUCCCCCACACUGGUACUGAGACACGGACCAGACUCCUACGGGAGGCAGCAGUGAGGAAUAUUGGUCAAUGGGCGUAAGCCUGAACCAGCCAAGUAGCGUGCAAGGAUGACGGCCCUACGGGUUGUAAACUGCUUUUAUGCGGGGAUAAAGUGCGGCACGUGUGCCGCUUUGCAGGUACCGCAUGAAUAAGGACCGGCUAAUUCCGUGCCAGCCGCGGC